UAUCCAUGGUGGGGACACAGAUUUAACAAAUCUUUAAAACGCUCCCAAGCUUGAUAAAGAGUUUUGUUUUUCUUCUAAGCGAAAUUUGAGAUUUGUUGUUUCAAAUU
rfam:Morus notabilis contig23018, whole genome shotgun sequence.